rnacentral:miRNA from 1 species
CAAGUUUGUCGCCAUACUUC